AGCGAACGCUGGCGGCAGGCUUAACACAUGCAAGUCGAACGGGCAUAGCAAUAUGUCAGUGGCAGACGGUUGGGUAACGCGUGGGAACGUACCUUUUGGUUCGGAACAACACAGGGAAACUUGUGCUAAUACCGGAUAAGCCCUUACGGGGAAAGAUUUAUCGCCGAAAGAUCGGCCCGCGACUGAUUAGCUUGUUGGUAGGGUAAUGGGCUACCAAGGCGACGAUCAGUAGCUGGUAUGAGAGGAUGUUCAGCCACAUUGGGACUAAGACACGGUCUAAACUCCUACGGGAGGCAGGAGUGGGGAACAUUGGACAAUGGGGGAAGGCAUGAUACAGCCAUGCCGGGUGAGUGAUGAAGGCAGUAGGGUUGUAAAGCUCUUUUGUGCGGGAAGAUAAUGACGGUACCGAAAGAAUAAGCCCCGGCUAACUACGUG
rnacentral:rRNA from 1 species